rnacentral:rRNA from 1 species
GUCUGGUGCCAGCAGCCGCGGUAAUUCCAGCUCCAAUAGCGUAUAUUAAACUUGUUGCAGUUAAAAAGCUCGUAGUUGUAUUUUUGCGUUGACGGUUUGACCAUUUGGUUGGUUAUUUCGUUUUCGCUUUUGGGAAUUUCCCUUUUUACUUUGAGAAAAUUAGAGUGUUUCAAGCAGACUUUUGUCUUGAAUACUUCAGCAUGGAAUAAUAGAGUAGGACUUUGGUUCUAUUUUGUUGGUUAUUGAACCUUAGUAAUGGUUAAUAGGAACGGUUGGGGGCAUUCGUAUUUAACUGUCAGAGGUGAAAUUCUUAGAUUUGUUAAAGACGAACUACUGCGAAAGCAUUUGCCAAGGACGUUUCCAUUAAUCAAGAACGAAAGUUAGGGGAUCGAAGACGAUCAGAUACCGUCGUAGUCCUAACCAUAAACUAA